rnacentral:rRNA from 1 species
UGCGUAGGCGGUUGCCUAAGUCAGAUGUGAAAUCCCCGGGCUUAACUCGGGUGGUGCAUUUGAAACUGGGCGGCUAGAGUGCAGGAGAGGGAAGCGGAAUUCCUAGUGUAGCGGUGAAAUGCGUAGAUAUUAGGAGGAACACCAGUGGCGAAGGCGGCUUUCUGGACUGUAACUGACGCUGAGGCACGAAAGCGUGGGGAGCAAACAGGACUAGAUACCCUGGUAGUCCACGCUGUAAACGAUGGAUACUAGGUGUAGGGGGCGUAGAGCCUUCUGUGCCGCAGCUAACGCAAUAAGUAUCCCGCCUGGGGAGUACGGCCGCAAGGUUGAA